rnacentral:rRNA from 1 species
GGUCUUGGACGAAGGUCGGCCACAAACGUGGUCUGUGCCAUUUCGUCCGAGUCCAUCCUCGAGAAGAGCGCGUCUGCUAUUAAGUUGGUGGGCGUGAUUUUUCCUCGUCAUUUACUGUGAGCAAAAUAGAGUGUUCAAAGCAGGCAUUGUGCCGUUGAAUACAUUAGCAUGGAAUAAUAAGAUAGGACCUUGGUCUUAAUUUUGUUGGUUUGUACUCCAAGGUA